rnacentral:rRNA from 1 species
AUUUCCGGUUGAUCCUGCCGGACCUGACUGCUAUCGGAUUGAUACUAAGCCAUGUGAGUCAUUGUAGCAAUACAAGGCAGACGGCUCAGUAACACGUAGUCAAUCUACCCUAUGGACGGGGAUAACCUCGGGAAACUGAGGAUAACACCCGAUAGAUCAUAAUUCCUGGAACGGUUUAUGGUCCAAACGAUUCGUCGCCGUAGGAUGGGACUGCGGCCUAUCAGCUUGUUGGUGAGGUAAUGGCCCACCAAGGCUAUUACAGGUACGGGCUCUGAGAGGAGAAGCCCGGAGAUGGGUACUGAGACACGGACCCAGGCCCUAUGGGGCGCAGCAGGCGAGAAACCUUUGCAAUGUGCGCAAGCACGACAAGGUUAAUCCGAGUGUUUCCUGCUAAAGGAAUCUUUUGUUAGUUGUAAAACCACUGACGAAUAAGGGGUGGGCAAGUUCUGGUGUCAGCCGCCGCGGUAAAACCAGCACCUCAAGUGGUCAGGAGGAUUAUUGGGCCUAAAGCAUCCGUAGCCUGUUCUGUAAGUUUUCGGUUAAAUCCAUUAGCUCAACUAAUGGGCUGCCGAAAAUACUGUAGAACUAGGGAGUGGGAGAGGUAGACGGUAUUCGGUAGGAAGGGGUAAAAUCCUUUGAUCUAUUGAGGACCACCUGUGGCGAAGGCGGUCUACCAGAACACGUUCGACGGUGAGGGAUGAAAGCUGGGGGAGCAAACCGGAUUAGAUACCCGGGUAGUCCCAGCUGUAAACGAUGCAGACUCGGUGAUGCCCUGGCUUGUGGCCAGUGCAGUGCCGCAGGGAAGCCGUUAAGUUUGCCGCCUGGGAAGUACGUACGCAAGUAUGAAACUUAAAGGAAUUGGCGGGGGAGCACCACAAGGGGUGAAGCCUGCGGUUCAAUUGGAUUCAACGCCGGA